rnacentral:rRNA from 1 species
GCUGGCGGCGUGCCUAAUACAUGCAAGUCGAGCGGUAACAUGGACUUCGGUCUGAUGACGAGCGGCGAACGGCUGAGUAACGCGUGGGAACGUGCCCCAAAGUGAGGAAUAAGCACCGGAAACGGUGUCUAAUGCCGCAUAUGAUCUUCGGAUUAAAGGAUUUAUCCGCUUUGGGAGCGGCCCGCGUAUGAUUAGUUUGUUGGUGAGGUAAUGGCUCACCAAGACUACGAUCAUUAGCUGGUCUGAGAGGAUGAUCAGCCAGACUGGAACUGAGACACGGUCCAGACUCCUACGGGAGGCAGCAGUAAGGAAUCUUCCACAAUGGGGGAAACCCUGAUGGAGCAACGCCGCGUGAAGGAUGAAGGCCCUCGGGUCGUAAACUUCUUUUAUAAGUGAAGAAUAUGACGGUAACUUAUGAAUAAGCACCGGCUAACUACGUGCCAGCAGCCGCGGUCAUACGUAGGGUGCAAGCAUUAUCCGGAGUGACUGGGCGUAAAGAGUUGCGUAGGUGGUUAGUAAAGUGAAUAGUGAAACCUGGUGGCUCAACCAUACAGACUAUUAUUCAAACUCACUAACUCGAGAGUGGUAGAGGUAACUGGAAUUU